AUAGUUAAAGAGACCAAAAAGGAUCAGUUGGUAAACAGUACAAUGAAAAAGUGUUGCAGAAAAGUGGUUGAGAGAAUGAGGAAAUAUACAGAUUUAUGGCCUAUACAAGAAUUAAUGGAUUUAGCACUGUUACAAAGAUCAGGGAUUACAUGAAAAUUGACACAAUAGUAGAGCUAUAAGAAGAAUAGGUCAGUCAUAGUGGAAAUAGUAGGAGAAAGAGGUAUUUAAAAUGCUCAAAAACAUCUUGACAUCUUGAUAGAUUAAUACAAUAGGAGAUAAGAGGCAGAAGUAAGGAGAUGACUUGGGAGUGAGUGACCAUGACUGUAGGAAUAAUAAUAGAUGCAGAUGUUAUAGGAAGAUAUAAGGGAUAAAAUGUACAGUUAAUGGUAAAUUACAAAAGGGCAAGAUAAAGUAGAUGAUAGAUAGAGAGUAAUCUAGUAAAUACUACAAGCUGACUGCAGCAUGAUUUCCUCAUUCCCUCCAGCUAAACAGUAAAUGUAAUGCUGCCUCUUAUAUCUAAGGGGGGAAAGGCUCAUUACCAGCCGUGUGAGGACAUGCUGAUGUGCAGGGGUUAAUCCAAGUACUCCCUGUCCUGACUGAGUUCUGAGCAAGUUCAGCACAACAGUGCUGAGCAUGGACAAACUGAAAAGAGAUAAGGACUCUGAGGCCUUUGUUAAGGCAACAGUGGCAAGCUGGAGAGCAAAGAGGGAACUUGGAAGUGCAAUGGAAGCGCUUGCAGCAUCAAAAAGACAAUACAGGCACCUUUGGUGACCUAAGGCUUCAGGUCUGGGGAAACCAGUAGCAGCACCAUCCUCAACACUAUGGCAGUAGGAGCAACCAUCACAGGUGUUCCCAAACCUGUCAGUUUACUGGCCUAUGGAUACCUAUUAUAGUGGGCACAGUCAAGCCCAUGGCAGCCACAAUCUCCACGUCAGUGGGGGUGGAGACUAAGACAAGAUGGGAAUAACUAAGGCAGAGUGAGAGGAAAUUACAGAGGAGGCAUCAUGUGAGAAUGGACAUCUAAAGCAAGACAAUCAUCAGUUUGUUUUGACUGUCAAAGAAGUGGACAAAAGAAACAGGACAGGGAGAGGGAGGAGACACCUAGGCACUGAAGGAUGAGCCCAACGAGCAUGCCUUCCUCUUCCCUUGUGAAAUAGCAUAGUUUUAAGGAGGCCUAGAGAAUUCUACAAGAGAAGGUGUAUACCAAUACUAUCAAAGGGAGUUUGAUGAGGAAACCAUGAUGAGGGACUAUCUUAUGGGUGAGCCCACCUGAUACCCAGCGAUGCCCUGACUAGGUACAGAGAAGGUAGUUAAGACAUCUCAGGGAUAGGUGGUGGUGUAAGUAGGUAAGACUAACUUGACUAUGUCCUAGGGACUGUUACAUAUUAAAAUAUUACCUCUAGAUCAUGGGAGUUCCCUAGUGGUCACUCACACUCAACAAGUCUAAGGAAUAGAAUGAUUUAGCUUUAAUGGGAAAAAUAAAGUUAGUAGAAAUAUUGAAAUGAUGUAAUAUCUGCUUUACAUGUAACUAAUGUGAAGCCAAAAGAUCUUAUGUACUAUACUAUGACAUUUGAUAAAAGCAAUAGAUAAAAUAAAGAAAGCAGAGAAAUAGGAUUGAUAGAAUAAGAAAAUAGAACUAGGAUUUACUAUUAGUUUAGAUAGCCUAGAUAAAGUAGUAUAGGGUUAGAAUAAUUAGGAAUAGAGGUAAGCUUAGUUUUUGAAGAAUAAAACAUUAUAAAAGUCUAUGACAUGCAGAGAAAAUUGGAGUAAGGUAUGUUGAAGAAUGAUGAGAUUACUGUAUGUCCUAAAACAUCUAAUUAAUAUAGCUUACAUAAUAACCAGUCUUAAAGUAGUAUCCCAAAUUGACAAUAAGUAAAAUAACAAUGCUUAUAGGGAAAUUUGUUUAAUCUCUAUGCAAAAAGAGAAUAGAUGGAAUUAGGAUUAUUAUAAGUCAUUGUCAGAAGAUUAAAAUGUUUUAUUAUUUCAGAAAUAGAAAAGCUGGUGGAAAGAUGUUGGUCUUCAUGGAAGGAAUGGAGGUCCACCAACUCUAUUCUGUUAAUCACAGUAACAAAGGGGGGCGAACCCCUGGUAGAAUGUUAAAUUGUAUGAUUUGUUACAUUUGUUACCUUGGGUUACAGAUUUUUAUAAUUUUUCACUGUCAUUAUUUGAUUAAUGUUUUAGUUGAACGUCCCUUUGGAAAAAAAAGAGUCUGCUGAAUACCAUUACUGUAACUUUAAUGGUUAGUGGCAUUUAUAUUAUACUAACCAGAUACUUUCCCAACAGAUACAGUACUUGAUAUGGUGCUUUCCUUUGCGCAUAGUUGGGAUCUAUGCGCAAAGGGGGAGUAGGAAAGAGGAAUAUUUUUAUUGAAGGAUUUUCAAAGUUACAGGAAGUUAUUGAUGAUAGUCUAACAGAUGUCAUGUGUAUAGUCAUAAUAUCAGGAAAGUGAUAGUGUUGUCUAAACCAUUAGGUCCCAGAAGGAUCAUAAAAACACUUAGUUAUUGAUUACAUUGAUAUGAUAAAAAUAAGAAACUUUGGUAGUGGUUUGUAGGGGUUUUCAGAUGAUAAGGGCAAAUUACAUGUUAAAAGGGAGAAUUGCUAAAAUAUAUGCCUCAACAGAUUUAAACUGGUUUGAUGCCUUACGCAUUGCUUCGAUGCAAAUAAGGUUACAAUAAAACCAGAGUAAUCACUUUUUGCAUUAAAGAUAAAAGCUGAAAGGUUCACCAGAGGCCCACCUUUGGAUCAGCUCCAAGGAUAAAUGAGAAAUUAUAUGGAAUAAUUGUCAUUAAUUCACAAAACAAUCUAUAAGCAGGAAAAGGACUUUCAGAUGGCCUACAGGAAAAGAGUCAACAACCUACAGUAUACUGCCUGGGGACAGAAAUGAUCCUGGCAGUGGUGGGUAUAGUGUUUUUGGCAUGUAUGCUCCUGUUCCCCUGUUGAGGGUAGACUUUCAGGCAAGGAAUCCAGUGAGGAAGGGGGGACAUUGUCCGAGCAACAUCUGCCUGAUAACAAUCAGGGAAUGGACAGAAAACGGCAGAGAUCCCAGUCCAUACCACCAAAUCACCAGGAAAUGAGCCAUUCAACUGUUUUUUCACAAGUGAGGCUGACAAAGAAGACUCAGGUAACACAGAAAUGAUUGACUGACAAAAUCUUAUCAACCACCAGGAAUCUGGAAUAUUGGUGAAUCUUCCAAUAUGAACACAGUCUGUUAUGUGCUUGGAGCACUAAGAGAACAGGUGGCUGCAACCUGGGUAGCUAUGCACAACUGGAUGAUGUUGGAUCAGAUAUUAGCCAAAGGAAGUGGAGUGUGUGUCAACAUAGGAGUAUAUUGCAGUACUUUUAUUCCCAUAACAUAGCUAUGGCAAAACUAAUAAUGAUAGAAAGAUAGUUUAAGGGGGCAUUAGGAGGAUUAGAAAUAUGGCUAGCACAAAUAGGAAUAGUUGUAGGAAUAGGUUUGCUUGUAUUUGUGCUUGUUUUCUCUUUGUUUCUUCCUUGUUUGAGAUCCAUAGUGCUUAAAACAGUGGCUGGGAGAAAUGGAUCACUGCUGUUGAUGAAUGAAGCAAAUGGCAACCCUUGUGGAAGGAGAUACUAGUGCCAGGACAGAUGACAAGGAAAUGGAAACAUGACAGUGAUGCCAGUGAUGCCAGAACUGAUGCUUCUCAUAGAGGAUUGGAGAAAGGAGGAAAAUUAGGAUACAGUACGCUGGUUGGAAGCAAAACCAGCUCUUUCAUUGAUGAAGUGGGAUUGGGUGUGGACUCCACUCCGUCCAACAGCCAAGCCACUAAUGUUCUCAGAGCAUAUGAGAUGGAGUGCAGAACUAAGAAAAUGGCUUUUGUUUUUGGGAAUUGCAAUAUUCGUAACAUACCUCACACUUGAAGCGCAGCAUCCAACAUUUAUUAAUACAUUUGCGUUUGCAUUUACAUUCUGCCAUCUCCGAGGAACAAGCAAUGGACUAAAAACUGUGUGUAAUGAGAAUGAA